AAAUGAUUCAUCCUCUAAACUCUCCUACGCGGUUGCAUGACACAUCAGUGCGGACCGCGCAGGUCAUUUGUUUCCCGACUUCACUUGUAUUUCGUCACUUGGCAUAUUUAACUCCUUUUUGAGCUGAUCUUUGACAUUUGUCAUCAAAUCUGUCAAACCUGCAAUCAAGUGCAACUUGUAAGCAUAUUGGGACUAAUUUAUGGAAAUUCACGCACAAAGCUCAGGCAAGAAUGGGAAUAAAGCAUGUAAAAUCAUAUUUGUGAGGUACUUUCAAGGCAUCUUUUUCCGGAUUAGUAAGGUGUGAGUAUUAGUCGUGCAGAUCCUAUAUUUAUUGAGGUUUCCUUUUCUUGGUUCAGUUUGGUAUUUAUUUAUCGUAAAUGUCUUGUAAUUUAGCCUGUUGAUUUGACUGUAUACAUUGAGUGUUUGGUUAUGACAUGGUGAGAUCGGGUGGCACGCCACAACAUGUGUAAUACGAGAUGAUUAAUAUGGCUGAAUAGGGGGGAAUAUAUAUAUAUAUAUAUNNNNNNNNNNNNNNNNNNNNNNNNNNNNNNNNNNNNNNNNNNNNNNNNNNNNNNNNNNNNNNNNNNNNNNNNNNNNNNNNNNNNNNNNNNNNNNNNNNNNNNNNNNNNNNNNNNNNNNNNNNNGUAUGUAUAUAUAUAUAUAUAUAUGUAUAUAUAUAUAUAUAUGUAUGUAUAUAUAUAUAUAUAUAUGUAUAUAUAUAUAUAUACACACACACGGUGGGAUCUGGUUGCACAUUGCAACAGGUGUAAUGAGGGUUGAUUGAUACGGUGAAAUAAGGGGUGAAUUUACUACAUUGAUAUUCAUAUAUGGUGGGAUCGGGUUGCGCGCCACAACAGAUAUAUUAUUUACUAUUAUUGAUAUCCUUAUGGUUGAGUAAGGGAGGAUUAUGUAUUAUCUGGUGGGAUCGGGUUGCGUGCUGCAACAACCUAUAUAUUUCUAUUUCUUGAGCUGCAUUGUUUUUACAAUAUUUUGUUUGAACUGGUAAGAUUGGUAAUCUUGGAUGACAGUGGUUUAUUUCGAGGAUGUGGUUGUCAUUUCCUAUUGGCUGUUUAAAAUUUGUGUUGUAUUCCAAUUAUCCUAUCAUUAUUACAUACUUUGUACAUGUUUUAGUUUAAGUGACCCGCCUUAGCCUCAUCACUACUUCCUCGAGGUUAGGCUUGGCACUUACCAGUACAUGGGGUCGGUUGUACUGAUACUGCACUCUGCACACUGUGGAAAUUUUAGAGUUGGUCCUAGUGGCAGAUAUUAGCAUGCUCGAAUUGGAUAUUGUUGGAGACUUGAGGUAUGACUUAUCAUCGCCGACUACUUCUGGAGUACCCACCCUCUAUUCUUUAGCCGUAUAACUUCAUUCAAAAAGCUUGUACUUAUUGCAAACUCUUAUGUGUAUUACUUUAGAAGCUCAUGCACUUAUGACACAAGGUUCAUUGAAAUGUAAUAGACGUUUGGUUGUUUAAUUUCCACAUUUAUACGUAGAACACAUUUAUUAUUUCAGCUCGUUAUUAAUGCUAUCACUUAAAACUGUGAAAAGGAGUAAAUUGUUCUAAUGUUUGCUUGCCUAGCAAGUGAAAUGUUAGGCGCCAUCACGAUCCCGACGGUGGGAAUUUUUGGUUGUUACAAGUUGGUAUCAGAGCACUAGGUUACAUAGGUCUCACGACUCACGAGCAAACUUAGUAGAGUCUGGCGGAUCAGCAUAGAGAUGUUUGUACUUAUCUUCUAGAGGCUAUGGAGUAAAGAAUAGGUUCACUUAUAUUCUUCUCUUCUGUGUCAUUGCUGAUUGAACUCUUAUAUUCUAUUCUCUUGCAGAUGGCGAGAACGCGUACCGCAUCUUCAGCUGAGCAACAGCUAGAUCCCUCAACAGUAGCUCCUACGUGGGGUAGGGGUCGAGGCCGAGUUCAUUCCAGAGGUCGAGGUAGGGGCAGAGCUUAGCCCCGAGCUCGAACAACAGAACUAGUAGCGGAGCCUCAGUUAGAGUUUGGUAGGCUCCAGCCCAGAUUGUUCCUGCCGGACCACGUCAGGUCCCGGAGGGGUUCAUAGACACCCGGUACUUCAGGAUGCCUCGGUUCGUCUAGUAGGCCUUCUGGAGAAUGUUUCUCAGAUCGACACAUUUCCUGUGGUACCAUUCAUCUCUCGGGCUUGCGGAGGAGUCCAGACUCCUACUACUCACACAUCGGAGUAGAUGGCUCCCUUGUUUCAAACUCUAGUAGUUCAACUAGUUGGACCAGUUUUGCCGGGUGUUGCAACACAGACCAAUGAUGGAUCAGUUAUGUCUUCUGAGUCUUUGUGGAGAUUAGAAAAGUUUACCAAGCCUUUCCCAAUUCAUUAUGGAGGUACAACAUUAGAGGGUCCCAAGACUAUCUAGAUAGUUUUUGUGAGGUGUUACGGAACAUGGGGAUAGUGGAGAUCAAUGGGGUCGACUUUGUUGCAUUUCAUUUGUCAGGUUCUGCCAAGAAAUUAUGGAGGGAUUAUAUGUUGUCCAGACCAGCUAGGUCAUCGGCUCUUACUUGGGACUAGUUCUCUCAGCUUUUUCUUGAGAAGUACCUUUCUAUCACUCAGAGAGAGAAUAAUCGGAGGCAGUUUGAGCGUAUUCAGUAGGGUUCUAUGACAAUCACUUAGUAUGAGACUCGAUUUAUGGAUCUGGCCUAUCAUGCUAUUCUUCUAUUUCCUACCAAGAGAUAGAGAGGGUGACGAGAUUUAUUGAGAUAGUUGCACAGCCUAUCAAAUUGCAUAUGGCUAAGGAGACUAGGAGCGAGAUUUCUUUUUAGGGGGCAGCAAAUAUUACCAGGAGAGUCGAGAUGGUUUUAGCUCAAGGGAGUGGUCAGGGGUCUGAUAAGAUGACACAUCACUCUGGUGGAUUCAAUGGAGCCUCAUCUGGAGUUCGAGUUACUUUUGGUAGAGGCCAUCCUCCCAUGCCAUUUCAUUUAGUGCUUUAGACUUCCCCAAUGCUUCAGGGAGUCGUGGUCCUUAUGUGCCUCAUUCUAGACAACCAACUUAUAGUGCAUCGCCAGCUCCUAUCAAUAUACCUUCUAUUCAGAGUUAUUAUCGAGUGUGGUGGCGACGGGCAUAUCAGGAGGACUUGUCCAAAAUUAUUGGGCAUUCUGCCACAACACCAUAGUUCUCGUGCCAUGAUUCCGGCACCUGGUGAACCACCGCCCACUCAGUCAGCUAGAGGUAGGGGCCAGGGAGCGAGAGGUAGAGGUCAGGCCACUAGAGGUGGAGGUCAGGCCGUUAUAGGUGGAGGCCAAUCCACUAGAGGUAGAGUCCAGCCAACAGGAGGUUGUCCUAGAGAUAUGGUUGAGAGUGGUAGGGCCCAGCCCCGAUGUUAUGCUUUUCUAGCCAUGUUUGAGGCUGAGUCAUCCGAUUCUAUUAUCACAUGUAAUGUUUCAGUUUGCUAUAGAGAUGCUUCAGUUAUAUUUGAUCUAGGGUAUACCUACUCCUAUAUGUCAUCUUAUUUUUGCUUCAUGUUUGGUUGUGCCUCGUGAUUCUUUGAGUGCCCCUAUAUAUAUGUCCACACCUGUGGGGGAUUCUACUGUUGUAGAUUGUAUUUAUCAUUCGUGUGUAGUUAUUAUUGGGGGUCUUGAAACUAGCGUAGAUCUUCUACUUCUCAAUAUGGUUGAUUUUGAUAUCAUUUUAGUGAUGUAUUGGCUGUCACCUUACCACGCUAUAUUGGAGUGUCACACCAGGACAGUAACCUUAGCCUUGCCGGUGUUUCCUCGAUUAGAGUGGAGAGGGACUUCUGGUCAUUCUACCAGCAGGGUUAUCUCUUAUUUGAAGGCUUGACGUAUGGUCGAGAAGGGUUAUCUAGCUUAUUUGGCUUAUGUCCGUGAUUCUAGUGCGGAGGUUCAUCCCAUAGAUUCUGUACCAGUUGUUCGAGAAUUCCCAGAGGUAUUUCCUGCAGACCUGCCGGUGAUGCUACCAGACAGGGAUAUUUACUUCUGUAUUAAUUUGGUUCCAGGCACUCGGCCUAUUUCUAUACUAUAUCAUAUAGUCCCACUGUAGUUGAAAGAAUUGAAGGAGCAAUUGCAAGAUUUCUUGAUAAGGGCUUUAUUAGACCUAGUGUCACGCCUUGGGGUGCACCCAUACUAUUUGUACAGAAGAAGGAUGGAUCGAUGAGGAUGUGCAUAGUUAUCGGCAGUUGAAAAAAGUCACUGACAAGAACCAAUAUCCAUUGUCGAGUAUUGAUGAAUUAUUUGAUCAGCUUCAGGGUGCCAAAGUGUUUUCAAAGAUCGAUAUGAGGUCUGGCUACCAUUAGUUACGAAUUAGGGUGUCCAAUGUCCUUAAGAUAGCUUUUGGAACUCGAUAUGAGCAUUAUGAGUUCCCGGUGAUACCAUUUUGGUUGACAAAUACCCCAAAAACAUUUAUGGAUUUGAUGAACUGGGUGUUCAAGCCUUACAUGGAUUCUUUUGUGAUUAUGUUUAUUAAUGAUAUCAUGAUAUACUCCCGUAGACAAGAGGAGCACGAGCAACAUCUUUGGAUCGUACUUUAGAUGCUGUGAGACAGCCAGUUAUAUGUUAGUUUUUAAAAUGUAAAUUUUUGUUGGACUCAAUCUCUUUCUUAGGCCAGAUUAUAUUAGUAGAGGUAUUCAGGUGUAUCCUAGGAAGAUUGAGGUCGUUUAGAAUUUUCCUAGGCCUACUUCAGCCAUAGAGAUCCGUAGUUUAUAGGGAUUGCCAGGUUAUUACCGUCGAUUUGUUGAAGGGUUUUCUUCUAUAGCAGUCCCAUUGACUAGGUUGACCCAAAAGGGUGACCCUUUCAGAUGGUCAGAUAAGUGUGAGGUGAGCUAUCAGAAGCUCAAGACUGCAUUUACUACGGAACCAGUGUUUGUGUUGCCCACAUGAUCAUGGACUUAUACAGUAUAUUGUGAUGCAUCUCAUAUUGAACUUAGUAUGGUGUUGAUGCAGGGUGGCAGGGUUAUUGCAUAUGCUUCACAACAGCUAAAUGUUUACGAGAAGAAUUACCCUAUUCACGACUUAAAGUUGGCAGCCAUUGUUGAUGCGCAUAAAAUUUAGAGGCACUAUCUUUUUGGCGUGUUGUGUGAGGUGUUAAAGGAUCAUCAAAUUUUGCAGUAUUUGUUCAAGAUAAAGGAUCUCAAUUUGAGGAAGAGAAGGUGGUUAGAUCUAUUUAAAGACUAUGAUAUCACCAUCUUGUAUCAUCCUAGGAAGGCCAAUGUGGUUGCCGAUGCUUUGAGUAGGAAGUCAGCUAGUAUAGGUAGCCUCGCGUACAUUCCAGUCGGUGAGAGACCACUUUCAUUAGAAAUUCAAGCUUUGGCCAAUCAAUUCGUGAGGUCGGAUAUUUCUGAUCCCAGUCGUGUUCUAGCUUGUACGAUCGCUCGACCUUCAUUGUUUUAGUGCAUCAGGGAUCGACACUAUGAUGACCCUCAUUUGCUUGUCCUUAAAGACAUAGUGCGGCAUGGUGAUGCCAAGCAGGUUACAAUUGUAAAUGGUGGAGUCGUUAGGAAGUAGGUUCGUGUUUGUGUGGCUAAUAUGGAUGGACUUUGUAGUUGAUACUAGAGGAGGACCACAGUUCUAGGUAUUCCAUUCAUCCAGGCACUGCCAAGAUUUAUCAGGAUUUGCGGCAACAUUACUCGUGGAGGAGGAGGAAGAAGGUUGCACAUGUAGCUCGGUGUCGAAAUUCUUAGUAAGUAAAGUAUGAGCAUGAGAGAGCUGGUGGUUUGCUUUAAAAGAUAGAGAUUCCUGAGUGAAAAUAGGAGUGUAUCACUAUAGAUUUCGUUGUUGGACUCCCACGGACUUAGAGGAAGUUUGAUGCAUUUUGGAUUAUUAUGGAUAGACUGACCAAGUCAGCGCAUUCCAUUCAUGUGGCAGUUACCAUUUCUUAGGAUGAAUGGCAUAGGUUUAUAUCCGUGAGAUAGUUCGUCUUCAUGAUGUGCCUGUGUCUAUCAUUUCCGAUCGAGGUACAUAGUUUACCUCACACUUCUGGAAGGCAGUACAAUGUGAGUUGGGUACGUGGGUAGAGUUGAGCACAACAUUUCAUCCUCAUAUGGAUGGACAGUCCGAGCGUACUAUUUAGAUCUUGGAGGAUAUGCUCCACACAUGAGUUAUAGACUAUGGAGGAUCGUGGGAUCAAUUCUUGCCACUAGUGGAUUUUGCCUGCAACAACAACUAUCAUACGAGCAUCCAGAUGGCUCCAUAUGAGGCAUUAUAUGGUAGACGGUGUUGGCCGCCAGUGGGAUGGUUUGAGCAGGGGAGGCUCGAUUAUUGAGUAGAGGAUGCCUUGGAUAAGAUUAAAAUCAUUUAGGAUGGACUUCACACGUCCCAGUCCAGGUAGAAGAGUUAUGCAGACCGUAGUGUUCUUAUAUGGCAUUCAUAGUUGGAGAGAGAGUGUUGCUUUAGGUGUUAACCAUGAAGGGUGUAAUAAGGUUUGGAAAGAACGGCAAGUUGAGCCGUAGGUAUAUCGGACCUUUUGAGAUUCUUGAUUCAGUGGGAGAGCUGGCUUACAGAUUUUGGUUGCCACCUGGUUUAUCAGCGGUACAUCCAGUGUUUCAUGUGUCCAUGCUUCAUAAGUAUCACAACGAUCCAUCUAAAUUAGAUUUUGAGCACUAUCUAGUUGGACAAGUAUUUGACCUAUGAGGAGGAUUUGGUAGAUAUUCUAGACCGGCAUGUUCGUCAGUUGAGGUCAAAGCGUUGCCCUUCAGUUCGAGUGCAGUGAAGAGGUCAUCAUGUUGAGGAUGCUAUCUAUGAGUUUGAGUAUGAUAUGUGGAGCAGAUAUACCCACAUUUUCACCAGCUCAGGUACUUUUCUAUGUUUGUUCGAGGACGAAUGGUUUUUUUAGAGUGGAGAACGUGAUGACCCAAAGGGUCAUCUUAUGUUUUAGAACUCGAUACUGUGUUCCUAGGCCUUUAAAACCUUAUUUUAUUCCUUUGGAUUUGUGUGCACAGUCCGAGCGUGUUUCUGGAAAGCUUUUAUGUAGAAAGUUAAUAAAAAUAAGGAAUUUUGCUUAGAACUCGAUCUGUGUUCGUAGGACUAAAAAUAUUAUUUUAUACCUUUAGAUUUGUGUGCAGAGUCCGAGCACGUUUCCAAAAAUCUUUUAUGUAGAAAGUUAAUAAAAAUAAAGAAUUUUACUUAAAACCUCAUUCGAGUUGACUUCGGUCAAUAUUUUUGGUCAACAGACCUGGACUCUUUACAGUUUUGGUGGGUCCGUAUCAAAAUGUGGGAUUUGUGUAUGCUCAGAAUAGAACUCCGAGAUCCCUAGCUCGAGAUAUGAAUUUUUGAUGAAAAUUAAAAGUCUGAAAAUUAAAUAGUUUUAAAGAUAUUAUUUAUAUUUUAUCUUGUUGGUAUCGGGUCCAUAUUUUAGUUCCAGAGCCCGAUACAAUUUCAUUAUAAUAUUUAAGAUUUGUACGUGAAAUUUGGUGAGAAACAGAGUUGAUUUGAGGUGAUUCGGGUAUCCGAUUGUGACAAUAGGAAUUUUAGAGUGUUCUAGAGAAUUUUAUUUGAUUUGGUGAUAAAUUAAUAUUUUAAGUGUUAUUUUGGCGAUUUGAUCGCACAAACAAGUUCUUAUGAUAUUUUAAGAUAGGUGUGCAUGUUCGAUUUGGAGCUUCGUGAUCUCGGAUGAGUUUCAGAUAGGCUACGGAGUAUUUUGAACUUAGAAAUUUGCUGAUGUACUUCAGCUCUUGUUGAAGAGCUUCUGAUCUCGCAAUUGCGAGAUCAAGCCUCGCAUUUGGAACCUCUAGUGGGUUCGCAUUUGCGAAGAGUAGCUGUGGAGGCCAAUGUUUGCAAUUGCGAUGGGAACUGGGGAGAGGUGUUCUUCGCAUUUGUGAUCUCAUGGUCAUAAAUGUGGAGUUGCCCAUGUUCUCAUUUGCGAACUAUUACUCAUAUUUGCGAACAAUGCAAAGGUGAGAAGAUGUUCACAUUUGCGAUGCCUCCCUCGCAUUUGCAGGCUUUGCAUUUGCGACACCUGCAGCUGGAUAAAUUAGACUUGGACGAGAGUUUUCAUUCAUUCUUCAAAUUUUCAAAUCCAAGAAACCUAGAGAGGAUUCUUCCAAGACCAAUUCUUCCCCAAAACGUUGGUAAGUGUUCCUACCACUUCUUUUCAAUUCCCCAUCACAUUUCACGAAUUUCCAACCUAAAAUCUACGAUUUCCAUGGUAGAAUUUGCGAUUUUGGGUAGAGACUAGGGAUUUAGUAAAUUGGAAUGAGGUCGGAUUCCAGAACCAAUUUUUUUGCUCACCUGGUAAAAGGCAUAGCAUGUAAAAAAACAAUUGAUUUCUUUACUUCCUUACCUCGGGUAGGUUGAAAAAGCUACUAAUAAGAAAAGUUCAUUUCACUUGCGACCUUCCAUGCCAAGGAGGGUUGAAGGGAUCGAUCCCAAUAGACUUUCACGGGGGGAAAGACCAGGAGGAAGAUGACUUUAAUCUUUUAUUCAGAGAAAUAAGUGGCUCACGAAGAAUGGAAAGAAACAUAUUAUCUUUGAUCUCUAAGUCUGUACAUAGCAAUGGUGGGUGGGUCAUUACUUGUAGGAAUGACAUAAUGCUAAUCCAUGUUCGACACGACCAAGGAAGCAUCAGUUUUUAAUAUUUUUAUGAUUUGGUCGUUCUGAAGGACUCACUCUACUGAGGGGAAAUUAAGGCUGGAACUCUUUCUGCCAAAAACAAGGGGCCUACUUCUCAUCCUAGUCCUAUGCAUCCCCACCAAGGUCUCACAAACAUGCACUUCCCUUACGUAUCCAACCGCUUCACUAAGAUAAGCAUUUCCUGAUCGGGUAAAUUUUUCAAGAUUAGAAUUGAGUGAGGGUAGCGGUUCCUCCAUAAUAGCAAUGAAAAAGGGAGGUGGAAUUUCACCAUGAAAGUUAAGGAAGAAUUGUGGUUCAACUUCACAACAUGGUUACAACAGUACCACAAGCCAAUCAACUAACAAAUAGAUACGCUUCAAAGAAAGAGGAGAUAGAAUCCAGCUUUUAUUUGUUAUCGGGAUUUCACGUUCUCGACAUCGCUUCGGUUGGAAUAAGAGAAACUAAGUUCGUUUCUGUAUGAGAAAAUAACAAUUUCUGAAUAAGGGAUAAGUUAGGCAUGUACAGACUAUGACAUCAUUAAGCUCUUUUGAUUGACUUUCAUUCAUUAUCAUUAGUCCAAUGUGAAACUAAUAAAGAGAGAUGUGCUUUAGGCAUCAUGUAAGCAAACUAUGCACGCUAAGAGUAUUAUAUAUCCGAGCUCGGGGUGAAUGGGUAAAUGAAUUUUUGUCCGAACCUCGGGUUUUGACCAAGCGCGCCCGGGGUUGGUUUUUAACUUUUUGGGGGAUAGUUUGGGAAAUCCAAUUAUAUGCAUUGUAGUUGAUUCCUUAGCAAUAUUUGAUGUUGAGUUAAUUGUAGCUACAGACGAGUGGUUUAGAGGUGGAUGUCACCCCUCCUUUUUACCUACACCCCCAAGGGCGUAAAGUAGUUUUUUCAAUUAAAGGACAAUACGAACGGGAUUUAUUUAUUAAAGUUCAGAGUCGCCACUUGGGAGAUUAAUGUCCCAAGUCACCGGUUGAAUCCCGAACCGAGGAAGAAGAUGACUCCGUUAACAGUCCGCGAACCAGAAAUCCAGAUAAGGAAUUCCUUUAUCCCGGGAGAAGGCGUUAGGCAUUCUUAGGUUCCGUGGUUCUAGCACGAUAGCUCAACUGUCGCAUUUAGCUUAUUAUCUGAUUUUAUUACAUGAAAACAUAUGUGCCAAUUUUUUCUUUUUACCGCUUUUAUUCAAUUUUUUACAGAAAGGUGAAUGUCGUUUAAAACGUGUCUUUGGACCGCGUCACAUGAAAUGCACCCGCAAUCCUAAACAUAUUUUAUUCAAUGUUUUGGGAUUUGAUCUAGGUCACAUGAAAUGCACACCCGAUUUUAGGAAGGUAAUAUUAUUGAAAUCACGUAAAAAAGUCUAACGCGUUAUUAUCUUUUAGGACGGCCGUGAAAUUCGCUAAAUACCCUUCCUGAUUUUCUAAGUAUUUUUAAAACCUUUAUUCAGGGCCCCGCAAUUUUGUAUUUUAUUGGGAGAAGCUCGUCUCAUCUUAUUUUAAAGGAUAAGCCUAAAAGUAACUGCAUUUUCUUUUUUUUUAAUUUUUUGUCUCUAAAAGAAAAGAAAGGUCCUAAUUAAUUACAUUUAAAAUCCAAGCAAUAAGUUCAAGUCCAGGUCCAAACAAAAGAACGAACCUUUUAGCUUGAACCCACCACCUAACUCAAAACCCUAAUUUUAAAUAUCAAUUAAACCAUUGCAAAAAAUUCCGGAUUAGGCCCAAAUGACUAGCCCAAUGAACCCAAUUGGAAGGAACUGGGGCUAAUUAAAGGUUGGGAGUUCGAAUCCAUGUGAGCCCAAUUAACUAAGCCUUAUUUGGGCUGAACUGGUGAUCUAAACUGGACGCAUUAGCCCCUACGUGUGUUUCGGCUUCAACAGGUGGGCCUCUCACGUGAGGCUUACUUAAUGAUCGUCCUAUUGGGCAAAACAUCAAUCCCCAGCGAAAUGAUUUCCACAGCAUAAUCAACAAUCAAACUAACACAUUCUACAAUUUACUAAACUAUCUUAUAUAAAGUAAUAACAGAUCAAAUUGCCCAUUUUAGUUACUUAACGACACACUGUCUAUAUUCAAGCAAUUACCAACUUCAAAUAAUCUUAUGAAAUCAUGCGAAUAUUAUAACGUAUGAGAUUCUGUGCAUUGAUUUUCAAUUCAUAUACCUUCAUGCUACUGCUUAUCAUAUUCAUGUUUUAAUUAUUCUUCUAACUUAAAGAUAGUAACUCUAUAGAGGUAAUAAACCAACCACUAAAGCUAAGCUAUAAAUCCCAAUUUCCAGUUUGUCAAUUUAAAACCAUAUACAGUCUACUAUUGUCUUGACUCCAAGUAACAACUAUACAAUCUAAAUUUAAUUAACUUGAAUAAACAACUAAAUUAUGGAGAACAAAACUAUCUAAAUUUCAGAGGACUAUUCAACAGUAGAGCAACAACAGUAGACUUAUUUCAUUUUCAUUUUAGCUGAAAUUUACACACUGAGGUUCAGAGCAUGUACCUGAAAUUUGAAGUGAAGUAAGAAGAAGAGUAAGUCAGGAAUAGCGAUUACAUCAACCAAUGAUAACCCAUAGCUCAAACAACAACAAUUAGGAACAGUUGGGCCAAAAAUCACUUCAGAACCCAGUAACUCAUCACUGAAUACAACACAAAGCCUAAUACCCCUAAAGCUGACCCAAAACAACUUACAAUCACACCAGUAGUACUCAAAAAAUUUCAGCAAUCAAGUCACAAAAGUGAGAGCCAAUAGAACAGUAACUUUGUUGCUAUUUUUUUGAGUUUUUCUAACCUCUACUACAGAUUUGGAAUUUAAAGUGGAGAUAGUAUCUGGAAAUUAAAACUAACUGAAAAUGGAACUAUCAGGGGGAAUUUUUGAGAGAAGACUAAGAUAUCUCGAUGGAACAGUACACUGCUGAUAUUUUUUAAGGCUUUUCUGUAUUUUUCUACUAUUUUUGGAUUUUAUCAUUCGAAAAUCUAAAACUGAAUCUGGACAAAAGAAACAAGAGAAAAUGCUAAUUGGGAGGAACUUUGGGCUAUAAAAAGACCCCCUCAAAAGGCACAUGCAAUGCCUAUUCAUAGGCAACUAAAGGGUGGUGAAUUAGAUUUUUGUUUUAUAUUUUAGUCCCUCUCUCUUUAUUCUUUUGUUCCUUUUAUUUCUAUGUUUUAGAACAAAUGACUCUUAUCUAGAAACUCCUAGGAGUUACACAUUAUUCGUGUGACUAUCAAAUUUCCACAAUGCCCCUGAACGCAACUCAGAUUUACUAAACUGUUUCAAACGACUAAUUCCAAUUAUCUUAAUCAUAUUCUAUCCUACCCCCUCUAUUAAACCCGAUAAGUCAAUUAAUUACACAAGCAACUAAUAAUCUAACUAUUCAGACUAAGCAAUCAAAAAUUAACCCAAGUAAACACUUAUCAUGACGAAUUAAUCUACCAAUUAACUAAUCAAUUAUGAAAUUCAAAACCAACUGGAAUUAAACUCAAGCAAAAAUCCCAAAACUUACACAUGCAACUAAACAGAAGGAAAGAAGAAAUGGACUAAUAAAGAAAAAGAAGGUUAUGAACUCAUUGAUAUACACAGAAACUCCGGCCAGCCAUCGACGUCCAAAUCCUCCAAAACUUCUGACACGUAACAUCUCCAAUCAUCUGUUUUCAUAUGAAAACACAUGGUUAGGGAUAUUACGGUCCUAAAUCACAAAGAUUUUGAGUUAGGGUUUUUUGGCCGAAAAUUGUUAAAUUGCUAUUAGAGCAAAUCCCGGCAGAUUCGAGAGAUGCCACUAUGGGGGUUGGGUGGAGUAUGCCUGGGUGGUUCUAUGGUGUAAACUUGGGAACAUUUGGCGUAAGUAGUGUUCGUUGGAAAAUCAUCCAUGAAAUAUUCAACGGUUUCUAGUGAGAUUCAAAGGAAACUAAGGGUGGGAAUGGGUAGAGGUGAGCAAUGUAAGUUAGUGGUGUAGAUUUGGUAGUCAUUGGCAUAAGUGGUGUUCACCGCCGAUGGCAGCUCCAGCGGUGUUACAAUCUCUAGUACGAGGAAGAUGAGGUUAAGUAUUACAGUUGAUGACUAGAUUCGGACAGUUUU
rnacentral:lncRNA from 1 species